GUAGUUAAAAAAAUGGAAUUACAAAGUUUAAAAUACGAAAGAUCAAAUAUUUAUCAUUUAUAUAUGGAAGUAAACAUGUUGAUUUAAUAUAAUAUCACGAAUCUUAUUUUAAUUGAUGUGAUCCACAUUUAAAGAUAAAAUUUGCAGUUAUCCUAUUUUUUACCUCCAAACUGCACGUGUUGUUUACACUAGAUUAAGUAAACACCUGUAUUAUAUUCGUAUCUAUAUAAAUACCACGAGGUUGAAAAAUGAUUUCAUUCUUUGUGUAUUUUACAAGAAAAAAUAAAUAAAUCCCUCGAUGGGAAGUACAAGUUCAAGAAACAAAGGGAAAUAACAUAAGGUCAGGUAUUACAGACACAAAAGUCGAUAGUUAUAAAGAAACUAUAUAUUUAAUAAUUAUUUCCUGUUCUUGUUUCUAGGGUAGUACUUCGGGAAUAAGGUGAACUGCUUAUUGAUGCUUUAGUAGUGCUAUUACUAUCUAUUCAUCACUUUAGAAGGCGAGAAAUCACUCGAAAACUGAUUUUUUCGUUCACCAUUCAUGAAGUAGACCUCAAUUCAUGCUCAGAAUAAUAUAUCUAUCUUUCCUAAGGGGUUUUGAACUUUUUAGGAAGAUUUGAAUAAUGUCUAAACUAUAGAGAUUAGGAAAUUUAUUCGAUUUAUGGAGAAACUAAUUUUGUCACUACAUUUUAGAUGAUGUAAUGAAUGGAUUUAUGAUGAAUUACUCAGCUUAGUUCUCCACAAAAGAAAACAUUGUGGUAUUCUAACUAAAUUAGAACACAACUGCAGAUACGAGGUCUUUGAAUUACAUUUUCAAAAAUACCACACACUUGAUAUUUUUAUAUCUGUAUAAGGAAAAUAUGGAAAAAUAUGAGGAGUAUGCAGAAGUUCUAGGUGAGGAACCACUAAUAUAGAUUUUAGAAUUGAAUCGAAUGAAGCUAAUGUUGUAUUAUAUAAUGUUUUUACCAAUUUCUCAAAUACAAUAAAAUAAUCAAAUUCAACGUUCAAACUUAUAAUUAAAAUUAUUAUCAAUCAGUAGUAGUAUUCCAAAGAUGUUUUUGAAAAUAUUUUUCAUACGAGUGCCGUUUUUUUUUCAACCUCCGAUAGGUUAUAAUUAAAAGACAAGUUCAUUUAAAUUAAAUGAUUUUAUUACCAAAAGAUUGGUACACGAACUUUUUGACAUAAUCACCUAAGAGAUUGAGAUAUUUGUCAUAUUUGUGGACAAGCUUUUCAAUACCCUCUUCAAAGAAAGUUGACGCCAAUGUAGCCUAACCUAACAAUAGAGUACAAAACAGACCUUGAAACUUUGGAUAUUUCAUAGACAAAGCAGUAAUGGUGAAUCUGCGGUUUUCUUUAACCAUUUUGUCAAUUCGUUGAUUCAGGUCAUUUGAAAAGACAAAUUUUUCCCCACGACUCAUUCUCCGAUGUAUUUCUGCAGCACUAUUGGCUUCAGCCUGUACAAAACGAAUCACUCUCCGCAAUUUACACUUGGCGAGAGCAUCAAUUAGGGCGGACAUGUUUACUAGGCUGUAGCACAACGCCGACUGACGCCUGAAUUUCACAAUGGUGGAGUGUGUAGUGCGAGAGCUAAGCAGUUGCCUACAGCGCAUGCCCGCUUUCUUCUGCUCGCGUAGCGUCUGCGCGGAGCAAUCGGAGGUUGAAAAAAAACGACCCUCGUAUACUAUCCACGACACAAUUUGUUUUCACCAAAAUUAUUGUAUUGUACAAGUAGUUUCAGGACGUGACGGUAGUGCCUGUUGUUUACACUUCAAUAAGGAACUGUCAUUUCUCUUACUAAAGGGGAAUUGAAAGAAGAGCAAGAACAACAUUAAAUUUUCCACGAAACAGUAGAGGAAGUAGUACAAUUGGAUAAAUUUCAUCCAUUAUAAAGAUUAAAUUCGUCACGUCUUCAAUAAUUUCACGAUAUUUUGUAAUAUUUUUAGUUAACUGAGUAAUUUUUGGAUGGGAAAGUUGUUCCUAUUGCGUAUGUACAUACACUUUCUUAGUAUUCAAAGAAAAUAGUGGAUUUUACUAGACAUCUUAGAAAUAGUAUUAUCAGACCUUCAUCUUUGUACUAAAUCUAACUAUAUACUAGCGCAGAGGUCGAAACCUCUAACCACAUUCUCUUGAAGUGUGAAGCACUAAGGAACUCCAGAGCAUUACACCUGGAAUUUCAAAAUGUGUGGGAUUGAUGGAUCAGCUGUAAACACUAGGUUCUCCAGUAUCGCAGCAAGAGAGGGGGACCAAAUAGAUCGCACUUCAACAAGUUCAGAUUUUUUUGUCACUAACUUGAGCCUAUACAUGGUACUUAGGUUAUAAAUUUAUGUGAUGAUAAAUAAUUAUGUUGAUUUAUGAAUGUGUUAAUGUAGAGCAACAUGAUCAGCACUGGUAUACUGAAUCCUUCAUUUUAUUGAAUAACAAAAAUAUAAAUUGAAGUAGUUAUAUGAAAAUAUCGAUAAAUUAAGCUCUCUGCAUAGAUAUUGCUCAUAAAAAAUGAAAGUUCAAGAAUAUAUUUCAAAUAAAUAAACAAUAUCAAUUUAGGAAACGUAAAUUCAUAAAUGAAUCAUCACGAUAGAAGGUGUUUGAUAAGUCGGUUUGACAAAGCAUUCCUGAUAACUCAAUUAUUGACAUACCAUAUGUUCGUAUCAAGUGAUAUUCUAAGCAUAUUUUCACACAAACACUGUUGGUUCAUUUAUCGAUAUUUGUAAGUUUACAUCGUACCAUAUUUGUAGCUAGAAAUGGUAUUUUCCAGAUCUAACAAACAUAAUUGUUGUAUUCAUUUUGAAUAUCCAGACAUUUAAAUUUUACUAUAUACAGGGAUAUUUAAUAUUGCAUAAAUCAGUUCCACAUAUCGAAAUUUGUGUAUUUAUCGAAAAAAACGCAAAAACAUAAAAGGUAUUCUCACCUCCACGCAACAAUUUCUCAUUUUUCUAAUAAUAAACUGUUCUUUACUUGUUUUUUGUAUUGAAAUCUCAUAUCUUUUGAUAAAUUAAAAUGUUGAUCUUUAAAAAUCAGGAAGACCUUAUCUUCAUUAACUACUCUAAGAGCUUUAGCCACCGUAGGUAAAUCAUUUUGAGAGAAAAAAUUGUACACAACUCUUUUGAUAGCGCUUCUGUCGAAAUUAUCAAUUCAAUCGUCAAUUUUUUCUCUUGAUUGAUACUUUCUUUGGUCGGCUACUGAAUGAUUAGCUCUGUACUUGCGAAGGAUUCGGUAGGCACUCGUAGAAGAUCCUCUCGAAUUAUUUGCCUUUUUGGAAAUAACAGUCUUUUUCAUCUUCUUAAUCAGUUGUAUCCGUGUUCGACAUGUUUAAGAAAAUUACGCCGUAAACAUUAAACAGUUUACCUUCAGUCUCUGAAGACGAUAACUGGGUUAUCGAAACGCGCGUCAGACAAUGUAAUUGUGAGUGUUAGUGUAGUGGUAGUGAAAACAGGGUGUUCAAUAUGAAUAUCAUCAACGGUUCUAAAAAUUCCAGCUUAGUUGUUUACAGAUACUUGAAACAGUCUACCAAUCAACCCGCUUCAGCUUUUGGUGUUGCAACACCAUCUUGAGUCACCGUGUUUGGCUAGUUUUUGGAAUUCAAUCGUGGUCGCACUUCGCUACAGGAUGGAUUUGCUGAGGUCGUCCAAAAUCCGCUGUUGUGCUAGAAAUCAUCGAUGCUGUGCAUACACUGAUAUUGCAAGAUGUGACAUACCGUGAGAUUGAGUCAUUUGGCAACAUUUGGCUACAUCUAUUACAAAACUAUAUGAAACAAUAUAUAUUUACGUAAAGAGUGAUUCAACAUCUCCGUAAAAACAAUUCCCAAAACUAUCUAUUAAACUGAUACAUCCUAUCGGAGUUGUUUAAUAUAACAAAUUUCUAAACUAAUUAAGCAAACAUAAGUCACAAAGCUUUGGAAAAGACAUUAAAGUCAAGUUAUUGGGUACUUAAAAAAAUAUAUUGUUGAUUUAAGUGGAAAAAUUACCAAUUUAGAGCACAAAAUAUUUAACAAUCAUAGCUCGGUCCUAUAUUUACCGUAGUAAAAUUGUUUGCGAAGUUUGUAAACAUUUCAAUAUUGUAAGUAAUAAACUUUUUUAUAUAUUAGUUAAUAAAGAACAGCUAUAGUGAUUCACAAAAUUAGUAAACAAUCGGAAAAUUUAAUUGGUCGCAAAGAAGUUUAUUUCAUAUGAUUAUCGAUUUUUUCAAAAUAUGCAGGAAUUGACGUAAAAUUAUUAGAUGAAAACUUUGAUUUAUAAAAUAGGAUAAUUGGAAAAGGAUUUUUAGAUUCAGAAGUUUUUCUAAAAGGUGCACGUGUUGGCUUUUCUAUUUAGGAGAUCGACUAAAUCAUAUUUUCCAAAAUCUGUUGUUUUAAUUUUUUGUUGAAACUGCUUGUUAUAGUUUCUAUCAAAAUUACUUAAGACCGCUUGACAUGGUGCAAGACAUCAUACAAGAAAUUGCUUGCAAUUACUUGCAAGAUCAAAAUAUUACAUAGACAAAUAUUGCAUGUCGCUUUCCAUUGCAUCAUGGUUGCUAAUAAUCAAAAUUCCAUUAGUAAAAGUGAACGAUUUCCUGACCUCAAACUUUAUUUAAUAUUUUGUGGGCAGUUUGGAAUUAAACUAAACAAGAGAAAAAUGGUCAGUGCUACUUUUAUUAUUGAAGUCUGAAAAAUUAGUUGAGAAUGAAGAAACAUAUAAGAACUCCUAAGGAAAAAAAUAAAACGUAAUAUCAGUAGAUUAUAAACUUAUUUCUCUCUAAAAUUGCAACUCGUACGCAAUAAAAAUUGCAACAAAUCGAUAAAGUGCGAGAAAUAUUGCGUCUUGCAUUGCAUUGCACGUUGUAUUGCAUCAUGUCAAGCGGCCUCCACAAAAAAGUAGAAAAUGAUUCAAAAAUACACUUUUUUGAUUAUGUUAAUGAGUACUUCCACGCAAUAAACUCCAAACAGAUUGUCUUUUUCAUUUGUUUUGGUUUCAAUAACCUUGUUAAAACUUCAUAAUGUCCUCAGGACAUCGUUCUUAUGGUUCUUCUGAAUAAGAUCCCAUAUUGUUUUCAAAUUUAACUAUGUGACGAAAUUCAGGAGGUGUGAAAUUAGGAUGGAUCUUUUCAAAAUUUCCUCAGCCCACCCUUUUCCGAGAUAUCACCCUUAAAAGGCGGCAACUAAAAUUUUGUUAUCAUUUGCUUUAUGAAAUUUCAGUAAAGCUAUAAUUUUGAAAUUUUGCGAUUUUCGCUCACUCGCAACGGACUAAAUACGGGUAUCUUUCAAUAUUAAUGUUACAUUAAACGUGGAUGAAAUGAGCAGCACUUUUUUUCAUAUCAAGAUAUAGUAUCAUAAAAUAAAAUUAUAUUUUGAAAUCCUUGUUUUUUUUUUGUAGAUAUUUUUUAUUCUUAAAUUUUGUUCUCAAAAUCAUAUUCCGCGUUUCAAGUAAGUGUUGAAAAUUCUUUGUAGAAUUGUAUAAUGAGCGAGUUUGUAUUUUUGUAAACCAGUUCAUCAAAUGAAGUUGCAGGUAUUUACUUUUCUGAAUUUAUUUCAUUUUGUUUUGGAAUACGUUUAUUCAUCAAUAAUAAAAAUUAUUGAGAAACUAAUAAUAUUUUUGAUUUAGGC